AGUGAACGCUGGCGGUAGGCCUAACACAUGCAAGUCGAACGGCAGCACAGUAAGAGCUUGCUCUUACGGGUGGCGAGUGGCGGACGGGUGAGGAAUAAAUCGGAAUCUACUUUUUCGUGGGGGAUAACGUAGGGAAACUUACGCUAAUACCGCAUACGACCUACGGGUGAAAGCAGGGGAUCUUCGGACCUUGCGCGAUUGAAUGAGCCGAUGUCGGAUUAGCUAGUUGGCGGGGUAAAGGCCCACCAAGGCGACGAUCCGUAGCUGGUCUGAGCGGAUGAUCGGCCACACUGGAACUGAGACACGGUCCAGACUCCUACGGGAGGCAGCAGUGGGGAAUAUUGGACAAUGGGCGAAAGCCUGAUCCAGCCAUACCGCGUGGGUGAAGAAGGCCUUCGGGUUGUAAAGCCCUUUUGUUGGGAAAGAAGAGCAGCAGGUUAAUACCCCGCUGUUCUGACGGUACCCAAAGAAUAAGCACCGGCUAACUUCGUG
rnacentral:rRNA from 1 species